rnacentral:rRNA from 1 species
UACGAAGGGGGCGAGCGUUGUUCGGAUUUACUGGGCGUAAAGGGCGCGCAGGCGGUCAUUUUUGUCGAGUGGGAAAGCCCCGGGCUUAACCUGGGAACUGCGCUCGAAACGGGAUGACUAGAGAUCGGGAGAGGAGAGUGGAAUUCCCAGUGUAGAGGUGAAAUUCGUAGAUAUUGGGAAGAACACCGGUGGCGAAGGCGGCGCUCUGGACCGAGACUGACGCUGAGGCGCGAAAGCGUGGGGAGCAAACAGG